rnacentral:lncRNA from 1 species
GCCUCAUCUUUAAAAUGGAACCAUCAAUUCCUGCUGCCUUAUGGAGCUCCUGGUUCUGGGGGCCUCCAUACAGUGCCAAUGCUGAUGUCCAGUAGUGCUAGGCAAAAAGGAUAGGACAAGGCCUGUGGGGUCCACCUCAAGAGACCUGGGAUGGGGAAGCAGCUGUUGGGGACUCUGCCAAGUUGCCUGGAAGACUGCACAGCUCUAGACCUGUUUCCAGCCAUUGGGUGGGUGCCAGACCUGACCCAGAGGCCUCAGGAAAUGCCUCUCGUGGCUGGGCCCUGAGCCACACUUUCACUGGGAUCUGGGGGCCUGGAAACAGGCACUUCCCCCCUCCCCACACCUACCAAGUGAAGAUGUGAGUAGCAUCAGCUUCAGCCUCCACUGCCAAGAGCAAACCAAAGCACCCGUCCUGUACUGGGCUGGGAAACAUGGUACAGCGGGACCUAGUGGCAGGAACAUAGCUUUGCUGAUUGCCUGGGGUUCAAAUCCUGUAUGUUCCUAUUGACCUUGGUGAGUGACAACCUCCCAGAGCCCUAAUUUCCUCUACUGUGCAAUGGGGAUGAGCAUGAUGCCUUGUAGACAAUGAUGACGACCGUGAUAUUCACAAGUUCAUGGCAUGAGCUGAGCACACAGUAGGUGCUUAGGAAAUAGUACCUACUGUGACCUACCCCACAUGCUCAAGGCAGUGGGCCUGCCUGCUGCACACUGGACUCCUCCCACCUUCUGACUGGGCUGCAGGUGGGCAACUAAUGUGCAACUACCCCAUGGCCUAGCCUGCAGUCCCCUUUCCAGCCCGGAGCUACUAAGGAAGCUUGCCUACAGGCCCUGGGAGGUUUUCCAGGAUGCCCACCUCUCUGAGUGGAUUAAUUGGGAAUAACUGGAAGCAAGCAGAAGACCCAGCAACUGGGGAGCUGGUUAAAUACUUUUCUGGCAUGGGAAGUGUUGCAGGGCCAACGGGUCAGUUAAAAAAAUAAGUCAGAAAAUCAAUGGUUUGGUGUGAUUAUACCCUAUGGUUCCAUGUGCCAACUCUUGAGGGCACUCAAAGUCUGGGAGCAUAGGAUGGGGCUGCAAAAAUGAAAGUGGAGUAUGUGGACGGAGUGAAUGAAUGCACAGAUUGCCCAAAGUCCAAGUGGGAAGUAAUGCACUGCCUCUCAAAUUCAGUGUGCAGGGCAUACUGGUUAAUUUCUAUCCACCACGCCAAGAUCUAACCAGCGUGUCUCAGCCCAGGCUAUACACUGGAACCCGAUGGCUGGGUUGCCCUGGUCUAAUUGCAUGGUGAUCUCUGAAGGAGGGUCUGGCACCAGUAUUUUGGAAGCUCUCCCGAGGUCCAAGGAGCAUCAGUAUGGAGAGUCAGUUGGCAAGAUCAGGAAAUCUGCAUUUUGCCCAGGCUUCCUGGUGAAGCUGGGAAAUGCUGCUCUGAACAGGCUACACCCUGGAAGGCGGAGUCACCUGCCAGUGCGUCCCAGACAUGAGUGGGGAAGGCCCCAAACUCUGACUCCUUGAACUAACUCGGGCUUGUGCGCGGAUCACAUGCUAAGGGUUGGGGGUCCCCGGGGGUAGGGGGCGGGUUCUGGCGUGGCGAGGUCGCGGCCCUGGCUGGCCUACAGUGCCCUCUGGUGGUAGAUUCCUAGCGGGCUGUGCAGAGGGCGCAGACCUAGAAGGUGAGGACACCAUGGGAAGAAACUCUGGGCUCUAAGGCAUGUGACCCACCUGCCUGCAAGGAGAUGCUAGAGAACUAUCUUUUAGAGGCCCAGAAACGUGGAGGUAACACACCUUACACCUUCCCUGGCAUUUAAGAGUGGCUACCCCAGAUCCAACCCCAUUCUCUGGCACCCAUCCCAACGUGGCAGCCACAUUCCCCUAAUACAUUCCUUAUUAAGGUGUGAAUAACUGAUAAGAGUUGGGAGCUCCCUGUUUUCAACAGGUUCUAAUAACAAGAAAUAAGAGCAUGUCCAGCAAGCUGAGCUUGGUGGCGCACAUCUGUAAUCCCAGUGGCUCAGGAGGCCGAGGCAAGGAGUGUGCAGGGCAUACUGGUUAAUUUCUAUCCACCACGCCAAGAUCUAACCAGCGUGUCUCAGCCCAGGCUAUACACUGGAAC